CAAAAAUUUUGCUCCAAUCGAAAACCUACAAGAUACCUGUUUUGUUGCUGAUUUCAUUGUUUUUAAUUUUUGCAAACAAUGUUUUCUACUAGAAAUAUUGCUUUCGAAAAUGCCCAGAGACCCUUUUUGUUGCAUUUUCAAUUUGGUUGGCGAGUUGGAUAGAUGGUUUUUGAUUUUCUUUGUAGAUUUUAAAUAAUUGAGAUCAAAAACAAAAAAAAAAAUCACUUUUUCAACUACCUUUGUGUAUUCCAAAAUACAACAAACUGUAAUAGUAC